GCCCACUUAGCUCAGUUGGUAGAGCACGACAUUCGUAAUGUCGGGGUCAGGUGUUCGAAUCACCUAGUGGGCACCA
rnacentral:tRNA from 1 species